UACUGUGUUAUGUGAAUAGUUGUAAGAAAUGACUUUUAGCUAGAGGAAAUUAAUCAAAUAUAAUAAAGUCAGCUAGUUAGUUUGUUGAUAGUUACAUCUUUGUAGCACUUAGAAGUAGUAGGGAAGCAUGUUGGAGCAAUGUCCACAAAAAAGGCAAGAUUAUGAAGGUAAAUAUGGGGGCUGGGUGGAGGGUGAGGGGCAAGACUGUAGUACUAAAACUCAGUUUCUCAUUCCAAGGAACCUUGGACGAAUGAGAUGAAGAAGGUAAAUAUUAAGAAAAAUGAGAAUAUUAACCAUGG
rnacentral:lncRNA from 1 species